rnacentral:rRNA from 1 species
AUACCUAGGGGGCAAGCGUUAUCCGGAUUUACUGGGUGUAAAGGGAGCGUAGACGGCAAAGCAAGUCUGAAGUGAAAGCCCCGGGCUUAACCCGGGAAUUGCUUUGGAAACUGUUUAGCUAGAGUGCCGGAGAGGGAAGCGGAAUUCCUAGGGUAGCGGUGAAAUGCGUAGAUAUUAGGAGGAACACCGGCGGCGAAGGCGGCUUACUGGACUGUAACUGACGUUGAGGCUCGAAAGCGUGGGGAGCAAACAGGAUUAGAUGCCCUGGUAGUCCACGCCGUAAACGAUGAUUACUAGGUGUUGGUUGUCAUAGACAAUCGGUGCCGCAGCAAACGCAAUAAGUAAUCCACCUGGGGAGUACGUUCGCAAGAAUGAAACUCAAAGGAAUUGACGGGG